AUACUGACCUGACAGGGGAGAUACUAUGAUCUCAAAGGUGAUUUUCAAGGGUGAGACUUUUCCAAUGCACUUCAGAUGUACUGAUCCUGACAAUUUCCCCAAAAAAGGUGAGAAACUUGUUUUCAUAAUUUUGAUAGUGGGGGAAAGAUUUGCACUGUCUCCUG
ensembl:snRNA U1 U1 spliceosomal RNA